UACGUAGGGACCAAGCGUUGUUCGGAUUUACUGGGCGUAAAGGGCGCGUAGGCGGUGCGGUAAGUCACUUGUGAAAUCUCUGAGCUUAACUCAGAACGGCCAAGUGAUACUGCAGUACUAGAGUGCGGAAGGGGCAAUCGGAAUUCUUGGUGUAGCGGUGAAAUGCGUGGAUAUCAAGAGGAACACCUGAGGUGAAGACGGGUUGCUGGGCCGACACGUGACGCUGAUGCGCGAAAGCCAGGGGAGCAAACGGG
rnacentral:rRNA from 1 species